rnacentral:rRNA from 1 species
UACGAAGGGGGCUAGCGUUGCUCGGAAUCACUGGGCGUAAAGGGUGCGUAGGCGGGUCUUUAAGUCAGGGGUGAAAUCCUGGAGCUCAACUCCAGAACUGCCUUUGAUACUGAAGAUCUUGAGUCCGGGAGAGGUGAGUGGAACUGCGGGUGUAGAGGUGAAAUUCGUAGAUAUUCGCAAGAACACCGGUGGCGAAGGCGGCUCGCUGGGCCGGUACUGACGCUGAGGCACGAAAGCGUGGGGAGCAAACAGG